GUCUAUGGCCAUGCUACCCUAAACGAGCCCAAUCCCGUCUGAUCUCAGAAGCUAAGCAGGGUCGGUCCUGGUUAGUACUUGGAUAGGAGACCACGAAGGAAGACCAGGUGCUAUAGGAG
ensembl:rRNA 5S_rRNA 5S ribosomal RNA